GCAUUCACUAACUUAUAAUGUUUUUCUUUCCUUUUCAUCAUCUGCCAGGUGAGCAAGUCAAUCAUCACCUUUUAAACACUUGAGAUUUCUAAUCUAUUUGUGGCUGAGAAAUCUAACAAUUGUGCUGGUUAGAAUUACAUAAGGAUGACAUUGGCUUUGGAUGAGGUCUCUCCUGUGAGUGUCGUAAACCAAACUUCAGAGCCUGAGCUGUGUACUAGUGCACUCAUUAAACUUCUCAGAGACCAGUUUUGUUCCUGAGAUCUUGGUUAAGUUCUGGACAAGUGAGGUUCUAGGUAAGUGGCCUCUGGGCAAGUGAGGUGUUGCUGUGCAAUCCUAAGCAAUUAUGACACAGGUUACCUUUGUAAAUUAGGUGGCCAAAAUCUGUAGGGCCCUAGGGUGUACGGGAUUCACUGUAGGCCUGGGAGAGCCCUGGGCAAAUGGACUGACGAGCUCUCUAUCUGAUGUGGUUUUCUGUCCCUCCACUGAUGACUGCCCCUUCUCCCAUGCGAUAAGGUGUUCCUCCCUCGUCACCCAAAUGAGGAUCUCUAUCUUUGCAUUCUCCAGGACAGACACCCCAGCUUAGGAGCAUUGUGUUUGAUGUAAAAGGAAAUGGGGUGGAAAAAUAUGCAAGUGUCUCAUCUCUCCUGUCAAGUGCAUGGCUACUUGAUUACAUCCUCUACCCCAAGAAUGCCACCCUGCUUCAGAUCACUCCACUCCAGGGCCUACUGGAGAGACAGAAGAAUGUGGGAGAAAUGCGAGCUUGAGAUGAUUUUGCUCUUGUUAUUAAAAUGCUCUUCUCAUUGUGUGGUAAAAUUACAGAAAAUGUCUUUCUCUUCAGAAAACAAAGACUUCAGCCCCAAAGAGGGCCCAAGAGAGUUUUAGGACAAAUUUGCAUCUCUCUGGCAGGAACUAUGUAUGAAUUCAAGACAGAAAAGGAAUAUUUACAUAAUGUAUACUAUAUUUCUGUUAUAGCUUUCCAGAGAGCUCCCUAGCAAGAACUGGGAAGAGGUAUGAGGGGCAAGAAAGCUCCAAGCAGCCUCCCCUACUGAAAGCUAAUUGUAGUGGCACUGAUUGAAAGGUGGUGGAAGUUGUAGAAAGCCCUAGAGAGCAAUCAACAGGCUUAGGGCAGGCUGACCCCAAGACCUUGGGUCACUGUGUGGCUUUGAGCAAAUUGCGUAAUCUAUUUUGGCCCUAAUUCUCUCUUUUUAAAAAUGAGAUUGCACACCAGCAACUGUUGUUGCUCUUUCAGCUUGGAAGUGCUGUCUUUGUGGGUAAAUAAGGCAUUUUUAAGGCUAGUCUAAAUUUACAAGUGAACCUGUGGAGGCCCUGGAAAUACACUUACAUAUUUCACAUAGGACUACUGUAGUCACUACAAUGAGAAAGAAUUUCACUUCCUGCAUUGGAUCGGGUGGAUUAGAGUUGGUGCAUAUAAAGCAGCUAUGACAUGAAAAUAUUCCACAGAUGGUAG
rnacentral:lncRNA from 1 species